rnacentral:rRNA from 1 species
AUUGAACGCUGGCGGCAUGCUUUACACAUGCAAGUCGAACGGCAGCACGGACUUCGGUCUGGUGGCGAGUGGCGAACGGGUGAGUAAUACAUCGGAACGUGCCCAGUUGUGGGGGAUAACUACUCGAAAGAGUAGCUAAUACCGCAUGAGAACUGAGGUUGAAAGCAGGGGAUCGUAAGACCUUGCGCAACUGGAGCGGCCGAUGGCAGAUUAGGUAGUUGGUGGGAUAAAAGCUUACCAAGCCGACGAUCUGUAGCUGGUCUGAGAGGACGACCAGCCACACUGGGACUGAGACACGGCCCAGACUCCUACGGGAGGCAGCAGUGGGGAAUUUUGGACAAUGGGCGAAAGCCUGAUCCAGCAAUGCCGCGUGCAGGAUGAAGGCCUUCGGGUUGUAAACUGCUUUUGUACGGAACGAAAAGCUUCGGGUUAAUACCCUGGAGUCAUGACGGUACCGUAAGAAUAAGCACCGGCUAACUACGUGCCAGCAGCCGCCGUAACAC